GGGCCACUUCCCUGCUUUCACUGAUACUUGGAAUGUGUAAUCCAUCAGUUUUCAUUUAGUAUUAACCAGUAUUUUUUCUUUUUUUUUUCUUCCCCCCUCCCCCGUGGUCACCACACAGAUGGAGAUAACGCACUAAAAAAACCUGUGUGAACUCAGCCUCCUGGACUCUCUGCAGUGAAGAUCUUGAUGUUCAGAGGGAGUCAGAAGAGAGAGGACUCCUCAGCAAUCUGGGCUGUGGUGUUUUCCUACAAGAAGCAGUAGGAUCUGUUCUCCUGCUCCGCUCCCAUUCCUUCUCACCUCGCCGCUGACAGUCGCUAUCUCAGCCUGGAGCCUUAUAAAUUUGUAGACUCUGGGAAUGAAACAAGACUCGUUUCCACCCCGUGUCCUGCUGGAAUUCUUGGACCCUGAAGAACAGCAACGAGGAGACAGCUACCCAAGCUUUCCUUACCUGUGAGUAUGGAUCUGAAGACAGGCACGAUAGCAGAUAAGGUGUGCUGACAGACAGGACGGCCCCAAUGGCAAAUUGCCCAUCAGGUUGUCUCACCAUUUUGCUGGACCGUCCCUGCGAGGCUCUGCCCGGCUCCUCUCCGCCUCCAGCGCUGCUAUUAAGGGAAGGAGGGACUUGAGAAUUCCCUAAGUCUUUGGUAAGCUACAACUUCCUUCCUUGCUCACAGCUAAUGAGAAAGGCUUCACCUCUUCUCCAAACCUUCUGGCCUGUUUGUUUAUAGAG
rnacentral:lncRNA from 1 species